rnacentral:rRNA from 1 species
AAAAAGCUCGUAGUCGAAAUUGUGUCCUCGGCCGCCGGUUCGUCGCUCGCGACGCCAACUGGCGCGCACGCUGGACGUCCAGCCGGUACUACGAACUCGCCUACGGGGUGCUCUUAACCGAGUGUCCAGGCGGGGGCCGGCAACGUUACUUUGAACAAACUAGAGUGCUUAAAGCAGGCUAAAUUGCGCUCGCAUACGUACGCGCAUGGAAUAAUCGAAUAGGACCUCCGUUCUAUUUUGUUGGGUUUUUGUGGAACGACACGCGGAGGUAAUGAUCAAUGGGUGCGGAUGGGGGCAUUCGUAUUGCGACGUUAGAGGUGAAAUUCUUGGAUCGUCGCAAGACGGACUUAAGCGAAAGCAUUUGCCAAAAACGCUUUCAUCGAUCAAGAACGAAAGUUAGAGGUUCGAAGGCGAUCAGAUACCGCCCUAGUUCUAACCAUAAACUAUGCCAGCUAGCGAUCCGCCGAAGUUACUUCUAUGACUCGGCGGGCAGCUUCCGGGAAACCAAAGCUUUCGGGUUCCGGGGGAAGUAUGGUUGCAAAGCUGAAACUUAAAGGAAUUGACGGAAGGGCACCACCAGGAGUGGAGCCUGCGGCUUAAUUUGACUCAACACGGGAAACCUCACCAGGCCCGGACACCGGAAGGAUUGACAGAUUGAGAGCUCUUUCUUGAUUCGGUGGGUGGUGGUGCAUGGCCGUUCUUAGUUGGUGGAGCGAUUUGUCUGGUUAAU